GCCUCUGGGAGGAGGCGGAGGCGGCAGAGGGGGUGGGUGGCUGGGCGGGGAGCCGGGGCCACACUCGCUGUGGCGGGUAGGCCCCCGAGCCGCGCCCGGCGAAGGCAGACGGAGCGAAGGGCAGCGGGAGCGCUCCGCCGCCGCCUUGAGGGACCGCGCGGGGCCCGGCCGUUUCCCUGCUGGCGAAAGCCGAGACAAAAGGACUUUAAUUGCUUCAAGGCAGUUGGUGCUGAUUUUCUUAUCUGCUCUAGAGAAAAAAAAAGUGUUGUCAAAAACGAUUAGGACUUAAGAUUUGGAGUCACUAUGGAAAUUGUCAAAAAUUCCCAUGAAGAAGCCUCAUAAAGAAGCAGAUCUCUCUUCAGGAUAUGUGACAUGGCUGUACGGUGCAAGAAGAGCAAUAAUCCUAAAGGUAGUCAGGUUCAAAACUGUCUAGA